AGAGUUUGAUCCUGGCUCAGGAUGAACGCUGGCGGCGUGCCUAAUACAUGCAAGUCGAGCGAACAGACGAGGAGCUUGCUCCUCUGACGUUAGCGGCGGACGGGUGAGUAACACGUGGAUAACCUACCUAUAAGACUGGGAUAACUUCGGGAAACCGGAGCUAAUACCGGAUAAUAUAUUGAACCGCAUGGUUCAAUAGUGAAAGACGGUUUUGCUGUCACUUAUAGAUGGAUCCGCGCCGCAUUAGCUAGUUGGUAAGGUAACGGCUUACCAAGGCAACGAUGCGUAGCCGACCUGAGAGGGUGAUCGGCCACACUGGAACUGAGACACGGUCCAGACUCCUACGGGAGGCAGCAGUAGGGAAUCUUCCGCAAUGGGCGAAAGCCUGACGGAGCAACGCCGCGUGAGUGAUGAAGGUCUUCGGAUCGUAAAACUCUGUUAUUAGGGAAGAACAAAUGUGUAAGUAACUAUGCACGUCUUGACGGUACCUAAUCAGAAAGCCACGGCUAACUACGUGCCAGCAGCCGCGGUAAUACGUAGGUGGCAAGCGUUAUCCGGAAUUAUUGGGCGUAAAGCGCGCGUAGGCGGUUUUUUAAGUCUGAUGUGAAAGCCCACGGCUCAACCGUGGAGGGUCAUUGGAAACUGGAAAACUUGAGUGCAGAAGAGGAAAGUGGAAUUCCAUGUGUAGCGGUGAAAUGCGCAGAGAUAUGGAGGAACACCAGUGGCGAAGGCGACUUUCUGGUCUGUAACUGACGCUGAUGUGCGAAAGCGUGGGGAUCAAACAGGAUUAGAUACCCUGGUAGUCCACGCCGUAAACGAUGAGUGCUA
rnacentral:rRNA from 1 species